rnacentral:rRNA from 1 species
CCCGAAAGUUUUUCUGUUUUAAAAAAACCCUCAAGGAAAUUGAAUUUGUAGUGAAGAUGCUACCUUAAAGAGGUUAGACGAGAAGUCCCCCUGGAGCUUUACUGAAAGCUUAAAAAAAAAAGUUUUUUAUUUAUUUAUAGGCUAGACAGUUUUGUUGGGGUGAUAGUUUUUUAAAAAGUAACGAAAACGAACUAUGACGCAUGUUUCACUCUGAAAACUUGAAGAGACAUUUGGGGUGUGUUUUAUGAUCUAUUGUUUUGAAUGAAAAAGAUAAUGAAAGCA